GCGGUCGUGGCGGAAUUGGUAGACGCGCAGCGUUGAGGUCGCUGUGGGCAUUGAGCCCGUGGAAGUUCGAGUCUUCUCGACCGCACCA
rnacentral:tRNA from 1 species